UACGGGGGGGGCAAGCGUUGUUCGGAAUUACUGGGCGUAAAGAGUGUGUAGGCGGUUCUGCAAGUUUGGUGUGAAAUCUCCCGGCUUAACUGGGAGGGUGCGCCGAAAACUGCAAAGCUAGAGUACUGGAGAGGAAAGCGGAAUUCCUGGUGUAGCGGUGAAAUGCGUAGAUAUCAGGAGGAACACCGGUGGUGUAGACGGCUUUCUGGACAGUAACUGACGCUGAGACACGAAAGCGUGGGGAGCAAACAGG
rnacentral:rRNA from 1 species